UCAUCAGCUGUGUCUUCGUCUCCAGAUUCGAAACAUGGCCACUGUAUAUAACAUGAAAGAGCCUUUAGACUUUGCCGAUUUAAACAAAUUCCGGGGAACCUCUACAGUCAGAAACCUCCAGUUCUGACAGGCAAAGUCAAAACUGAAGUGCCUUAACCUUGCCUCCUUCCUCCUGGCCAUCACGAGGCAACGCUUCUCGUUGCAAAACGAAGUCUGAUUGCAGAGAAAUCAAUGAGAAAAUGAGUUUUACUCCUUUUACUUUUUCCCUCAGGAAACAUUGUACACGCAAGUUUAUGGUCUCAACCUCUAGUUUCUAGACUUCUUCAAUACAGCAUAAUGAUAUAGUAAAGAAUGGUCCAUUUAGUAUUAUAGAACAAUAGUAUGACUGGUAUGCUUUAGGGCAGGGCUACUGUGAUUGACAGCUCCACUUUCGGGGACGUACAUGCAGUCACUCCGUCACUCCUUAGCUGUUCAAAAUAUUCACUUCCAUUCUGUGGUUGGAACCAAAUAAGCUUCAAAGCAGAAGCCUAGCAAGAUUAUUAUUGACAUUUGUUGACAAUGGCCAGUGAAAGUUACAUGCCGUUUGCACCUUGUGAAAUUAGAAGGUCGUCACCAGACACAAGUGCAUUCUAUUGAAACAUGAUUCUGGCAUGUUAAAUCUAGAUUUUACAGACCACAUAAUUAAAUUUCCCACCCCACAAUGUGGGUAUUUAUUAGGUCUGAUAUCAGGUAAAUAUCAUAACAAUAAUAAAACUGCACUAGUAAAUAAGAUGGAACAAAGUGAUCGGAUACCAUCUAAUUUUUUACCAAAGACUUCUAAGCAAUGGAUCACUUUUUCCAUUUAGCCUUAUUUCUGUCUGCUCCCUCUAUGUGUGUGUAUGGCUUGUGCGUGUGUGUGUGUAUCUCCCUAUUGGUGUCAGUACAAGCAAUAACCUUAUGAGUAUAAUAGAACUGUUAUAUUUUUAAUAAACGCAGCAGGCAGCAGUAGUCUGCUGAGGCUCAUAGGUAAAUGGAUGGAGAGAUUGUCAAUGAGUCACCAUGGAACACUUACUGCUGAUUACAGAAACCCAGCAACUGCUGUGCACAUGGACUGUGUGUUCACAUGUGUGCCUCUAUGGUGUGGUGUGUGUGUGUGUCUGCACGCUCAAAAGACUUUGUUCUGAAAGAAAGCCAUGUGUGUCUAUUUAGCAACAGUUUUCCAUUAAUGCACAAGAAUAUGUUUGUGAAAGUAUACGCAGAAUUAUCUUACCCAAAAAUGUAAGAUUUUGGAAGCAGUCCAAUACGUACGCUGGCGCAUGCUGUUAUUUUCACUCUCCAAUGACUAAAUGAAUCCCCGUCUUGGUAGUUUCUUCUCCGCAGCACCCAUUCUGUCUCUCAUUCCUACCCACACAAUAGAAAAAAAAUCUCUCUUCUUCCCAGCACACCGGCAAAGCUCGCAAGCUCAUACUUUCCGCAUUUUCCUGUCGGCGCGACGUCUUUAUGUCUGUUAAACAAUAUCAGGUGGAACCUCUGGUGUAAAAUAUGAUUGAAGCAUUAAAGUUGGGCAGUGUUUUCUUUUUUCUAUCUCUGUUGUCCUCAGAGCAGAGCCGAUUAUGAACAUCAAACAGGGAGACAUAAAGGAGAAUUAGUGUUGCUUUUCAAUGAUCAAUAAGAAUUUCCAUUGUUAAUCACGUUAUAUAAAAUCUCCAUAAUUUCAUAUUGCAUGGAUUCCAAUUACAGUGUCACUACCUACUCUCAGAAAAAGCUGGUAUAUUAAUUUGAGGUUUUUGCUUUUAUUUGAAUUUGUAAAACAAACUUUAUGAAAACAGCCCCAAAUGAACAUAAUUAAAUUCUACUAUUUAUAACUCAAAAAAGUAAAGUCCAGUACAAAAUACAUCCAUUGUAUGAAGAGGAGGGAGGUUGAAUUAAUUGAAUAAAUGGACAGUAUUACAACAGCAGGAUACAACUGAUCAUUGACACACAUUUUCAUUUCAUCUCAUGACAUUAAAUAAUACAUUCAUAAACAAUAUUUAAGUUGAGAAAAGGUAAAGCACCUUAAUAGUAAUAAUGGCGUCGUAACAUUCCCUUUAUCCCGACCAUAACCACAAUGACAUACUUAAAGGGUUUUGUCUUAAUAUGUACGUAGAUUAUUAUUAUUAUCGCAUUGAGUGUCUGCCAUUUGGUUAAAACUGCACAAUACUACAAUGAAACUACAUGUUUUUCAAUCAAAUGUGUUAAAUUAAUUAUAGAAAAUGAGAGAGACUGUCAGGCAAUGAUGAUAUAAAGCAGAGAAAUAAAGAUAAGAUGAAGGAGUGCAGGUAAAGACAUGACAUCUGUAACACAAUUUAACAAUUGUAUGAAUAAUACUAUUAAUUCAAGGACAACAAAUCUACUACCGCCAGUAGAUGCUACUUCCUGUAUAUCUCAAUUAAUUACAAUUAGUUUUAAAACUAAAUGUCAAAAAUCAAGCAAAAUAAAUAAAUUAGGUUGGAAUCUUUUUCAAGAAUAUACUCAACAUUUUUAUAUACAAUAUUAUUAUAGACUAUUCAAAUCAAAUGUAUUUACUUGCAUUACUCCUUUAGAAUUAACUUGAUUGAUUUUUUUUAAAUCAUACAACUAUCUACCAUUAUUACAGGUGUAAAAAUGUAUGUAUCACAUCAAUACACAGUAUCUAUAAUAAAAUAAAUAAUAGUUUAUGUCGGUAAAGAAGUAGGACAUGAGUAACCUCCAUGUAUUAUAAGCCCAACAAUUAUUUUAUUUCAUUCACAACGCCGCCUGACUUUGCUUUUAGUGCAUAUUUCAUUCCAGUAAACCUCAGACGCACACAAAGGCGAGCCAAUGAAAGAAUGUCAUUUAUCAUUACAUGUGAUUAUUUAUCUCAGAAUCAGAAUAACCUGGGGGGAAAACAUUUUGUUACAGUUAUUGAAAAAAAUAAAUAUUGGACUAUGUAAUACAGAAAUAAAGGACUAUGUUAUAUAAAAAUACAAACAGAAUGAAUGGCAGUAGUUCUUUAGAUGUGAGCUUAAAAACAGAAAAUAUCUAAUAACCAAGGAAAGUUUUCUAGUUAUCUAUCUUAUGGGGCUAUUUGUUAUUCGCAGUACUUUUUUUUGUUACUUAUUAUUAUUAAACUUCUGUUGCAACUAAUUGCAUGUGCAAUUAUAUUGGUAUGUAUUCUGUUUCUGACCAUUUGAUGAACUUAUAUGAAACCGAGGAAAGAAAUAGCAUUCACUGAGGAGCAGAUGCAUUUAUUCUGUUUUUAGUGGUAUUGUUACUCUAAUGCUAUUAAUCUUCAAUCCAAACCAAGAAAACUGAAAAGGUUUUAGCAGUACGUUUCAAAGAUUUGUCCAGGAUUGUCUGGGGGUUUGUUUCUCAGUUAGUUGGCCUAAUUAUGUUUUGAGUAAAUCUUCCCUGGAGGUGUCCGUUUGAACUACUUCUGCCUUUUCUUCAUUGAUACUUGCAUCCAGAUCUGGCUUAAUAAUAAUAUUAAUGAAAUUAAUUCAGUUUAAUUGUUCAGUUUAAGUUUAAAAUGAGUCUUUUGUUGUCAUAGGGGUGGAUAACUAUUCAAUGAAAACGCCUCUCAGGUAAAGAGUCUGGGCAGAGGUGAGGAUUCUGAGGGAAGUCUCUUAUACGUGAUGCUUUUUAAAUGGUAUGUAUACAUAUGCAAAAGAGGCAUUAUGCAAGUGAACUUGUAAAGUGUAACUUUAUUUAGGAGAACUCUACAGAUGAGAAUUGACAACAGGUUUAUUGUGUGAUUGACCUGUGCAUGAUGAUAAACAGUGUUUUUUUUCCUUCCUGUCAAAAAAAACAAGCAAGGAAGAAAAAUGUUUAAAGAAUGAAAUACUCUGUUUAGGAGAGAUAUUCAAUGUCAAAUUAAAGGUCAUGACAUUUUUCAGAAAAUAAUUGGACAGCCUAGACGCAUUUUAAUUAAGACAUUAUUUCAUCCAAUUUAUUAGCAAAUGUAGCAAUGGGAUACACCAUGCCUUUCUACAAUAUAAAUACAUAAUGAUCAACUGAAAUAUUCAUUCUAGUGUAAAAUAAAAUAAAAAGAAUGUGAGUGAAUUAAAACGAACGAUGAGGCAGUACAGGGGCAUGAGGAAGUGACCAGUGAUCAUGCUUCUAGUUCGGACACUUUUAGAUUGGAAAGCUCAGCUUUUCAGCGCUUCACAAAUUCUUCUGCUACACCAAACCACCUGAUCAUCAUCAUCAUCAUCAAUUAUGAACUUAUUACCCAGAAGUUGUCAAUGCUCAGUAUGACAAAAAUAUAACAGAAAAUAAUACCAUAUUUAUCUAAUUGAAUAGUUUUAUUGGAUAUGAAUAUACAUCUAAAACAAAAAUAUUUUGUGUUACACAAUUAGAUUACUAUUAAUUGUUUCACAAUUAAAGCAAACAAAAUACAAAUAUUUUUUUAUUAACACAACACAAACUACCAUUAUUUAUUAUAGUUCAGGGUGGAAAUUGGUUUGCCUUUUCGAACAAACAUAGAACAAAUCACACUAUUUCAAAUAAUAAAUCCUUCAUUGGGCAUAACAAUGUUUUUAAAUUAGAAUUACCCCCCCACACACUCCGGACGUGCUACCCUGUCUGUGUUUACGCCCCUGGUAUUCUGGUCAGCUGUGGUUCGUCUUCGGUUCAACAAGGGUUAAAGAGAGAGAGAUGGAGAAGCCUUCAUAACGACACAACCCUCCCUCUUCGUUACCCUCCAGAUACCGACGGCGCUCUCCAACGUCUCUCUCUCUCUCCCUCCCUCCCUCCCUCUCUCCUCUCACACGUCUGCUCUGUCAUUGAAGCGGCGGACCGGCGGAGGAGAGCACCCGGCGCUCCCUGCUCACGGUACGACUUGUUCUAUUACUUUGUUCUAUUUCUAGCCUCAGCUGGGGGCCCUCGAGGUUGUUGGUUUGAGCGUGCGUGAGAAGUUUCCCGUAGAGUCCUCACGUGGAGGCGUGAAUCUUUCAUUUCAGCAAAUGAACGUGGAAGUGCGUUUGUCUUUGACUGCUGGUAUUUGGUAAAGUCCACGUGGCAGGUUCCCGCCAGGUGGGUGGCUGCAGGUCAGUUUUGUAGUAGAGCAAAGGGGGCAACAAUCAGUUUUGAGCUGUGAAAGUGAGGCAAAUAGAUCGUAAAUUACAUAUUUGAGUUUAAGUAGCCAAAAUGUAUGUAAGUUGAUUUUGAACCAGAUGCUUGGAUAGAGAGAGACAUGAAUAUAAAACGCAGUAUAAAAGAAGAAAAUUGGCUUUAUUUAACAAACUUAUUAAAUCCCACCUUGCUUUUUCCUAUUUUCCUAUGUCCUAUUUAGCACUGCGGCAGAGGGACUGAUUUACUUACAUGGACUUUUAAAUGAAGGCAGUUUUCCUGUUGUUGUUGAUAGGUUAGAUGGUAUGUUUUAUAUGAAAUAAUACUGUAAUAAUGAUUAAUUCAUUUGAUUGUAUUCUUUACAAGUCUUUGCGUUUUAAAAAAAGGUUUCAAACUUUGUUAUAGUUGAUUUUGUUGCUACAGAGCACGAUGGCAGGACGGAUGGAUAGCAACAUGUGUCCUUACUGAAGGUAGUUGUAAAGAGGUAAUGACUCGCUCAAAGGCACUUGAUAAAUGUAUGUUUGCAGGUUUGAAUAUGUAGUUGCACUUUAGUGAAUACUCAUCCGGUUUUGCUUCGGGAGACUUCUGUUGGAACAGCAUUCUGAGUUCACGUCUGGUUCAAUCUCCCAGUGGAGAGAUUUUCAGCAGGCUUCAGUCUGUAACAGAAGCUUUGCAGCAUUCAGGGCUUCUGUUUUUUAAUUCUGAAUUCAUUGUAAAAUGAUGGUUAAUGUAGCUCUUCCGGUGGGUGAACUGUAGAUGGAUGUGGAAAUUCUUUAUUGCCUCCAUUUCUCAUUUGCUGUACCAGAACUGUGCAACUCGAGCUUAAACAAAAGCCCUUUCUUUGUAAUCCAAAAGGACCAUGUAAUAGUUGUAACAUUUGAGUGUUCCACCUCGCGGAAUGUCAGUACUGUUUUAAAAAUAACAUUUCGUGGUAUCUAUUUUUUUUAACCUUGAUUUAUUGGAUUUUCUAAUUAAUCAUAUAUAUUUUUUAAGUUAAUAAUAAUUAGUAUUCCGACUAAUCAUAGAUGUUUGAUGUCAUUAGUCAAUCCCUGUUGUAAAAUAGGCAGUUAUUCUGAUCACAACUGAAGAACAAGGAGCAAUUCAUUUUACAUAAUUAUUAAUAUAAUUAAAUUAAUACAUUAUAGAUUAUAUGACAAUGGAAGAAACGUGAUCGAGGCAUUAUUUGCUUCAGCGCUGUAUUGUCUCCCUCAAUCAGACUUCCGCAGGAAUGAAGGUAGUUGUAAAGAGGUAAAUAGUGACUUUUUGCAGGAAUUUCUUUUGUUUAAAUAGUUGUUUAUACUUUUGUUUGUUCUGGGAAAUAUAGAGGGGGGGAAAUAUUAGAUAGUGGAAUAAAUCCCAUUUGACCAUCUUAAAAAAUGCUUUGAUAUUUUUCUAUGAUGUUUCUGAACAAUUUAUUAUCAUUCACCUGUCAUUUAGAAGUUGACAAUAAGCAGAUCGAAGUCAGUGGACAACAUGUUUUUCAUUUGAUUUAAUUGAAUCCUUCACCACUGAGAAUUGUACCUGUAGGCCUACAUGUUGUCAUAUUUUUACAUCUAUAAAUGUAGCUUUACUUUACUAUAUAUCUAUCCAUGCAUCGACUGAAGUGGUCAGCUGCAUGUCUUACAGAUUUAAAAUGUCAAGACUGCUGGUGUGAAUUAAGAUUGUGCAGCCCAGGGGUGUGACGUGGAUAUAACGGGGGGAUGGAAGGCAGGCGGGGGUCUUGCGCUUAAACUAGCCACUAUACCUCAUAUCAUCGAAUCAAAUGAUCAAAUGGAGACUGGAAAAAUAUUUAGUUAUAGUUAGAGUUCAUGAAUUAUAAAAACAAAUAUGAUAGUUAGAUUUUAUGGAUGAUAAACAAAUAAUGUUAUUAUAUAUUUCUUCUGACUAUUUCAACUAUAAAAAUUAUGUGGGUUGGCCUAUCUGAGGGAAUUAAUAUGAAUGGGACCAUAUAAAGUUUCUUCACUCUUUUAAGAGCCUGCUCUCAAUACAUCACAUUGUGCUAAGGUCCACUAAGGGCCCCCCUCAUGGUGCCUUGGGAAGCAGUAUACAAUUGAUCCCCACCUGAUCAUGGACUGAAAUACAGCCUUGUAUUCACAGGGUGAAUUCAUAUGGAAUUAGGAAGAGAAACAGAAUGUCUUUUUAUGGUUUAUAGUUACACUCUAAAAAAAUUCACCGGAAAUUAACGGUAACUUACUGGCAGCAAGGACGACAGGAAUUUACCGUUAUUUUACGGUAUAAUACCGCAAAUGGUUUUUACACUAUGUUGCCAUAAAAUGGAUUACAGUAAACUGGCGUGUAUGUUACCGUAAACUUGAACCAAUUUUACUGUGAAUUAACUGCAAUUUACUGGCAGUCGACGCUAGUAACUUACUGUUUUAUUUACAGUGCCCUACCUUAAUAUACGGUAUGUUGCUGUAUAUUGGAUUACAGUUUGUAAUAAAAUAAAAUAGUUUUAUAUUGAUUACUGUUUUUGUGUUAUAAAUACCAGAAUGUUACCGUUUACUUAUAACCGUAUACUUUUGCAUUUAAUUACCCACAAAUUAAAGAAAGACAACCCAAACUCAUUUCGAUCAUAGUGGUUGGAGUUUAUUCCGAUGCCUUUAAGGCAAAAAUGUUAGACAUUUAUAACCAAGAACAAAAUAUAAAAUAUGCUGCAUGUAUACAAUAAUACAAAAAGGAAUCAUGAAAUCAUUAGGAACAAGGUAAACUAACUGCAACAAUACGCUAUGGAACACUUUCAACUGACCUCAGCAAACUGCUGGCGUCCUUAAUCCAGUGGCUACUGCAAAACAAACCAUAUAAAAUAUUUAGAAACACUGUCAUUGGUAAAAUAUUAAAAUUACAAAGAUGAGGAAGACAACAAUAUGUAAGAAAAGAGAAUGUUAAUCAUGCAAUGAGAAACCCCUCCGAUGUUAAACUGCACUGACAGGUGUUCUGGAUGAACUGAGACUACGCGUCUGACGUCUGUUCAGGAGCAGUCACGAUUGACACUCAAAUGACUUCUAGGCAAUGAACACUUUGAAUAAUACAAAUAUUUAUAAUCUUUACAUUCCGGCCAUUUAAGCGAAGGCGUUGCAUGGUAUAGGGAGGGUGUGCUGUGCAGCGCAAGGUCGGUGGUUCGAAUCCUGGCUGCUCCCUGUGCCAAGUUGAAGUGUCCCUGAGCAAGACCCCUAACCCCCAAUUACUCCACAUACAAUUAUGUAAAACCAUGGGCGUUUUGGAUAAAAGUGACAGCUAAAUGUAUAGUAAUGUCCUGUAAGUCAAAGUCAUCAUCGUAACUCAUGAGAUACUAUCUCAUUAUGAUGACUUACAGGACCUGCUUUUCAGUGGUGACAUGGGCUUCCAUACAUUAACCUACAACAGAUGUAGAUGGAUUGUGAUUCACUGCACUUGUAUGUGUAAUUCCACCACUUCAUAAAAUAUAUGUAACAUGCAGUUGAAUUACGCUAGUCUGCUAUUAUUGUAAAUUGACAGCUUUAACUGAUUAUUCAUGACAUUGGCCGUUAAGUUAAAAGCAAGGGAUGGAAAUUUAAAUGUAUGUUACAGUUAUUAUGACAUACUGUAAGAUACCGUUAAAAAUGCACCGUAAAUUUACAGCAAUUUGUUACAGUGUGAGGAAGGCUUUUAUUUUCUCCUCAAUAGAGCUGUUAAAUAAAAUUAUCUCAAAGGCAUUAUGGACGGCAAUACUGCUGAUUAAAGAUUUCCGUCUACUAAACAUGUUUCAAACCCAUAAUAUUGUACGAAUAUAUAUAUAAUUAGUUUAUAUUGCACAUGUGUCCUUUACUGAAGAUGUUGUGGUGAAGGAGGCGACUUGAAAUAUAAACUUGUAAUCAUUGGAUUUGCAGUUAAACUUCCUGUGUAUUAUUUCACUGUCAAUGAUUCAAUGUGACUGUUGCAUAUGUGCUUGUAUGCAGAAGCAUAGGUGAGCACGCUUAAAGGUAUUGUAUAAGUAAUAAUACAUAAGUAAUGUAGAGUCACAACAAACUCACAUUUAUAAUGAAAGAUGAGUUUACACGGCAAAUAUACUGAUAUGAAAUAAAGAAAUGCCGAACCAUCUUAUCAUGCUUUAGGUUUUGAAAACGGUUUCCUUCCAGUUGAGACGUGAAACUACUUUUAUUUUUGAAUACAAUUAAUUCACACAGCCCAAAAUCACAAAAUACAAAUUUGCCUCAGAAGGUUUUACGGUCUUCACAUGCGACUUCCUCGGACGGGGAGCCCUCGAAAAAAAAACUCCCCCCAAAAAAAGCUGCAAUUGGGAAUAUUGAGAAAGAAACUUGAGGAAGAGCGGCAGGAUCUCUCUAUUAGGAUGGACACGGUGUAAUCGAUGUCAUGUGUACAGAGUGAAGAACUUAAAAGAUUAUUAUACCGUUGUGCAUAGUGCAAGACAUUCUUAAUGAAAACAUCACCACAACAAGUAACAAUAUUAUUUUUCAUCAUGCAGUGCAAUGAGGUGGAAGUCUACUUUCAACAGUGCUGGCGCAUUGCAAAUAGUUGCCAUUGAUAUUUUCAUUUUCAACAUGUCGUCACAAUUGAGUUGACAACAUAAAAAAAAAAAAAUCUAAAUCAAGGUCCACCCAUUAUUUUCCUCCAGCACUUACCACACUAGCUCAUAGUCUUCCUCAGUAGAUCAAUAUUAUUAUAUUUAAUUUUUUUAAUACACUAAUAUUUCCAAGAUGAAGAAUCAAGUUUUACGCUUUUUCAUAUUGAGAAUGAACCAUAGUUGGCCACAAAUGUUGUUCUUUUCCACCUUCCCAAAUGUGAAAAGUUUAUACUUAUUGAUUUAAAGUAUACAUUUAAUUUCUUAUACAUGCAUGAUGCAAAUGCCACAUUUUUAAAUGGAUGACAGAUGGCGUCUGUGAUUUACUGAUAAAGUUAGUAAUAUGAAUGCUGGAGCGUUCUCCUGUUCAUUUCCUGUUGUAGAAGGGAUUCAGGCAGUGAACCCUGAAGUCAGAGGGCUGUGACACCACAGAGGGAGGCCCAACGAAAGAUAGACGGAGGGAGUCGCAGCCGAUGACCAAAGGGAGACCGCUGUCUGAACAAAGCUUUGUGGAGGGCACAAAGGUUCCAGUCAGUGUCGUGUCAGUCAUUAAAAAUAAAAUAGUUUGACAGGCUUUAUGGAGGCUAGUAUUCUUCCAAAAAGGAGAGAGAGAAAGCUGGUUGGCAUCCAUUCCUUAUUACGAUAUUAUUCAUGACAAUUAAUAUCGCUUAUACAUAGCUGUUACUGGCAUGGAGACCUGCACGGCUAAAUUAUGAUAAACACAGAAAUGGAACAGGACACAAUGGACACACAGUCACAGACACACUGCAAUGAAUAAACGGCAUUACACGUAAUUUGAUGCACCAUAAACCUUUUCUGGUUCAGGUGAAGUAAAUAAAAUGUUCAAUAUAACGUGCUCUAAAUCAGACAAUAGAGGCAGAGAGGAACAGGAUAGAUUAAUAUGUAUUGAAAAAGUGAGGAUGCAUACAGUAAAGUCAGUCCACGGUCCAGAUAAGAUGAGAUGAGAUAGGAUACAAACUUUAUUGGUCCCAAGGCUUCAGCAGUUUCAUUAGAAAGUAGAAAAGAGUGACAAUUUAAAAAGUAACAAUGAGUAAAAUAGUGCCAUAGAUGUAAACAGUAGGAUGGCAGCAAGCAACAAUGACCAUUUGACAAUGAAGUAGAUGCAAUGAGAGCCAGGGCACAGGGACAGAAGGGAUAGAUGAUGGUUCGAAGGAGAAUAUGGAUGUAAAGCAUGAGCGCUGGCGGUAUUUCAAUACCUUUUUCUUUUAUUAAACAAGCUAAAUAGCCUUGUUGUAUUUAUCUCAUGUUAUUUCUCUCUCUACAAUUCUCCUCUGCUCUCUGUAUCACACACACGCACACACACACAUGCACGCACACACAGGUGAGCACACUCCUCCCAGUGGAGAGAGAACGCGUGUCGGAAAAGGUGUCGGUGUUCGCACCCCCCUUCCCAAAACCGUAACUCUAGCGGAAACACGAGUUACACGAAUACAGCAUGAUGUUUCGUUUAGUGAAUUAUCACCGUUAUCACAGUUAGAGUCAAACAGACAGUAAUAUGCGAUGAUUGAAACUGUUAAUUGAAAGACUUUGAUCACCUAUUUAUGUCUUCAGUGUUCGGUUGUUCAAGAUGCCGACGGCCAAAAACCAAGAUGAUAAAGGUCAAUAUGUCAAACUCAAGUUUGUAAACCACAGUCCACAAACUAGUGGGCGGGUCUCAUGAUAACAACUACUUUGAAUUCAAUCGUAAGAAAAUUAGGGCCCACGUGUAUCAACUAUUAAUGAGUUGAUCAUUUUUCAUGCAAACUCUCGGGUGUUUUCAGUGACUCCAUGUAUGUGCAUCAUGGAGGACAGAUUUAGGAUAAAAGAGAAGAGGAAGAGGAAGUGUUUCCAUAAUUGUUUCCUUUUACAAUAGAUUCACAAUCAGACGGUGAUUUUGUUUGUGCCCUAAGCAUAAUAGUCUUGCUAUCAGCACGAUCCUACACCGAUGAAAACAGCAGGUGGAGAUUGUAAAUGAUGUAACUAGACUGGGGGUCUUUUGCCUGAAAGCAGGGUAGUGGGGCAUUUAAGGAGACACUCGGGCAGUAGAUUUCACUAAUUCUGUCAGUUACCGUUACGUGCUUUGUUCUGUUACUGCAAUAAAUUAUUUUAUUCUAUAUAUAUAUAUAUAUAUAUAUAUAUAUAUAUACAUAUUCAGCAUCAUACAAGAUGAAACGUCCACAUUCCCAUCAAGUCAGGGUAAUAUAAAUACACCUCAUUUAUUAAUAAGAGGCAGACAGAGAGCUCUUCACCAGGAAAACACAGCUCUACUUUGUCAUCGGAAUACACAUCAUUAUAUGCUAAUAUUCACAGUCAUUAUACUCUUUUCCCUCUAUUCAUGGUUAGGGUUAUGGAAGGCUGCAACUUUAACAUUACUUGUAUUAAUCUAGUCUGAUACACUUUUUAAAUGAGCAUUAAUCUUUUUUUUGUGAUUUGCUAGGUAUGACACUUGUUCAAUGUUAUUUGGGACCAGGAAAACAUGCCGUCAGAAUUGAUUUGGCUUUCAUUUAGAAUUUUCUAUUUAAACUUUACUUUUAGCCAUUAAUUCCAGGUGAGAUUUUCCGCGGUCCUGACGAAGAAAGCGGUAACAAAAUGCACAUAGAAGAAAUAAAAAACUUAAACCAGCAAAUGACCUGAAACACCACACUAAGAUGAUGGCGCAAAAGCCUAAAGCAUUUUUUAACGACGGUGGGGGUUUGAAGAAUGAUUUUCCUAUAUUCAUAGUUCCUAUACCAUUUUGUAUGAGUGAAGAUAUUGGUCCACAGAUAGUUAUGGUAGAGAAAAUGCAUAAGGAGGAGCAGUUCAUCUUUAAGAUUGCAUCUCAUUUCUGUGUUGUGUGAUUGAUGCUGUUGAUGAUUUGAAUUCUUCUACUAACCUGAUAAAGAUGGUACAACCACAGGUCUGCCCGGAUGAAUCCAAUCUGGAAAAGUUAGAUUUGGUCACAGUUUAUAAAAUGUAUAUUCCUCACCUGUCAGUGUGUACGUAGUGUUUAAUUCUCCUUGCUUUCCCAAUGAUGAAAAACUCUAAUAUACAUGCUCUGACAAAUCCUUAAGCAAACAUGUUUAAAAACAGAAUUGUUUUCACAUCGAAAUCUGUUCUUUUUUUCAUAUAACUUUUGUUUAACACGAUUAUUCAAUUCUGUAGCAAACUUAUUUUUGACGGCCUGGCAAAGAGAGCAUAGGAUUCAUGGCAUGAAAAUGAAAAACACACUGCAUAACUCUGAGAGGGGAUGUGAAGGAUUUAAGUGUUAUUGAUUAUUAACCUGAAAUAACCUUUAGGAUGAGUGAAACUUUAAUGGUGUGUUUGUGUGUGUGUGUGUGUGUGUGGGGGUGACCUUCGGACAGCCAACUGAUUGAAGGCAGCUUCUAAAAGUGCUGAAUUUGAAAUUCACAGCAUAGAUGUUCCCUCCAGAUGGCGGCUAACAGUGAAAACAAGGACUCAUGCGUCCAAUCAACUAUCGGCAGAAUGCAAUAUCCGAUAAAAUGACGUUUCGCACACACUCUCUGAAAUCGCGUGCAAUCACUUUUGGUGCUUUUGUACGAGAAAAUGUGUCCAAACUCUUUCCUAUCAAAUGGGUCUAAUCCUUGUUAUUUUAUUAAACAAUUGAAAUAGCCAGAUGAUAUUGAUCUCAUUUACAGGAAAGGAUGUAAUUUCUUCUUGGGAUUAGGGUUAGGGUUUCCUAUGGAAAACACUGGAAUGCAUUCCAUGACUUAUAAAGAUUCUUAACAGAAUGUUUAACACAUGUAUAUUAGGAGCCGAUAUUACUAGCUUGAUCGUUUAGGCCAGUGGUCCCCAACCACCGGGCCACUGGGCCGUUUGGUACCGGGCCGCACCACAGAAAGCUUAUAUAUAUUUUUUUUCAGAAAAAUUUUUUAUUUUGAAAAUUGACUGGAUUUUCUCCUAAUUAUGUGCGCUCGUCCCUCUGACAUUUUCCCCACGCGUCACCAGGCGCAUCACUUGUCCUUUUACCGUGCAUGGCAGUUUUGCCGACCAGCGAACACAGAGCGUGCGACUACUACCCUGAAAACGGUCUGUGAGGUAAAAAAGGUUGGGGACCACUGAUUUAGGCAGUUCAGCAUAGGUUGUUUUAAAUAUAAAACCAUUUCUUUCAAAUGACGUUGAACAAUAAUUUAGCUUCAUUAUUUUUAAAUUGUUAAGUUGCUUUUAUUUUACCUCUGUAGACAAAUGGUCAAAUCUUGACAAGAAAAAGGUAAAAAUGCAGAAUUAUUUAGUAUAUGAAUAAGAAAAGAGGAAAAUCAGCACUAUCCACCGCAAAUCCUGCCAAAUGGGAAGUAGACUGGUGGUGUCAAACCCCUUUUUGUUCAGUGGGAGGCUAUGAUUAUUAUGUUGAAACAUCUCAGUAUUUAAUUAUCAACAAUUAACAUUAUUGCGUUGUAUAAUUGUUUAAUAUGACAUUACAAGAACCUGUACGAGAACGACUCAACCCACCAUUGUCAGUGCUGUCUCCUUGGUUCCAUCUGGGCCAGCUGUAGUGUUAAAUCUUAAAAAUCUGCUCUUCAUCCCCUCCAGACUAAAUGACUUUUGCUGUUGCUGUGUGUAGUCUAUCUGGGCAUCAUCUGGAGAGUGGCUAUAACAAGUUUUAGCCUUCCAAACAACAACAAGGAAAAAUCAAUAAUCUUGUUGCCCGGCUCAUCCCACUGCUGACCAGCUGAUGUGGGGUUUGAGUGUGUGUGCAGAAUUUCUACAAACGAACAGCCUUUGACCCGCCAGGUCUCAUUGCGUUGCUUUUCUCCCUCUGUGUCUCUAGUAGAACUAUUAACAGCUCACUACAUGAUUCUACUCAUUGUGGAUGUAUAAAGAAGACACACACAUGGGAUUCUAGUUUUUGAUUGCCUCACCGUAGUGAAAUUACUUGUUAGCAGAGUGAAACAUUAUUUCAGUGGACUGUAUCUUGCACAGGGAGUAACCAUUUUAAAUAUACAUCUUUCACUUAUUUUCCCAGAAUAAUAAAUACUGUAUUGAUCUACAGAUUAUAUAAGCAUUACAAAGGGAAAGAAAAAUGUAUAUUAUAAAUAGAGAAUUUGUAAAUAGAGAAAUUUAAAUUCUGCUAAUGCUAUUUUACCAUGUAACACAAUAUAUGCAGAGAAUACAAUUAAGAACAACAUUAAAAAAGGAAAGAGAAACACAAGAAAUGAAGUUAAAUCAAUCUCACGUGCCAUACAGCCAGUGUAGAAAAGAGAAUAUGCUGCCAUUUAGCAAUGGGAGGCAAGACAGACGUGCAUUGUAACCAUACUUCCGUGUACAAACUGAGAAACUUUGACCCAUUAUAUUUUGCCAAGAAUCCCAUAUAUAUUAAAUAUAAUAUACUUGUUCAAGUUGGCAUGGUUCUUAGUCUAAGAAGUAUUGAUCAAUCAGGGUUAAGCAGACUGUGGAUGGAUGCAAUAAACAGUCAACGUUUGCCAAUUUGAGGGAGAAAACUACCUGAAAUACAAUCAGGGAACCCAACUGCCAUUGUCUAACAAUGAAUAUAAGGCUGCAACUAACGAUUCUUUUGACAAUCGAUUAAUCGGAUUUGUUGUCUCCAAAACCAUUGGAGGAAAAUGUGGAUAUUUUGUAUGUUUUUGUUUUGUAAAAAUUAUUGUAUUUAGUUUAGUUUUAUUUUAUUGUAAUUUUGGCCUUAGUGUUUAUUGAGUGUUCCCCCAGAAGAUGAAUGCUCUUACCAAAUUGGUUAUAAUUUGUACCAUCAUUAUGAAUAUGUUUCUCAAAAUCAAUAUAAAAAACAGCAAAAUAAUAGUUUUUGUAAGUUCGUCAAACCAAGUUUCCCUAAUUUUUAUGACGUAGUAGUCAUUGCGCAUUACAAAACAGCACAUGGGUAAAGCUUUAGAAAUGUGUCAAGUGGGACAAGGGCAUGUAAUUGUGAGAGUUACACAAUUCAGGUGGUUGGGGACCACGGAUCCAAAUAGCCUACAAACAGCAGAUACAAUAGUAAUUUAGCAAAGAAGCAAAAUAUUUUCCCCCAUAACCCCCAAAAGUCUGAAUGCACUCUGUUAUUGUCAUUUCAGUAAAUACAGUUUAGUAUUUUCCACCUUGGAAAGAAUAAAAAUAGGUAUAAAUAAUUAAUUUGACAUAUGUUUAUACAUAAAACUACCACAAUUCCAUAAAAAUACAUUGCAUACAUUACAUUGCAACAUAGUUCUAGCAAAUUAAGUACGUCCCAACUUCCUUUGGGUCAUUUUUUCCUUUACUUCCAGCUUGGGAAAUGUUAGUCAGCGUGAAAAUGAGUGAUAAUAGACUCCCAGUCACUUUAUGCAUUUACUUACAUGUCUGUCCUAUGUGAUAAUUGCCUCAAAGUCACAUACAGCCUCCAACAUGAUUUGAUAUUGAUUUUUAAAGGGUGGCUUUAAAUAUACACACUCUAACACUUGAUUAUAUAGACAACCAGCUGCCGCCCCUUGUGUGAUGCCAUAAAGACAGGCGAUAACAAAGUGUCAGACAUUCAUUUCUCGAUGUCAAUCUUGAGAGGUUGCAGGGCAUAAGCACUCUUACCCUUUUUUUCCUGUAGCUGUUUUAGGAUAAAGAUUUACUUUAGUUCAUGAUUUACAUUUCUAAUUUUUAAAACACGGCUCUAAGUGUCAGAGAUGCGUGGGGGAAGGCAGGACUCAAAUGCAGAGUUUAACGCAAAAAGACUUUAAUAGUCAAAAACUCCAACAAAGCAAAAGGCCAACGGGCAAAAAACACAUACAAGUACCGGGGGGAAAAAGGCUGGCAGGAACGAGGACCAUCCAGGACAAAAGACAAGGAUCAUCCGGAACAAUAGACAAUGACGCGACAAGUGACAAGAGACACACACUGCUUUUAAAUACACUAGGGAGGUGCAGG
ensembl:lncRNA